rfam:Canis lupus familiaris chromosome 15, whole genome shotgun sequence.
AUAAAGGCCUUUUUUAAGGCCUUUAAUAUAUGAAAUUACACUGAUU